UUUCCGCAGGUGAACCUGCGGAAGGAUCAUUACUGAGUGAGGGCCCCUCGGGGUCCAACCUCCCACCCGUGUUUAACGAACCUUGUUGCUUCGGCGGGCCCGCCUCACGGCCGCCGGGGGGCAUCCGCCCCCGGGCCCGCGCCCGCCGAAGCCACCUGUGAACGCUGUCUGAAGUAUGCAGUCUGAGACAAUUAUUAAAUUAAUUAAAACUUUCAACAACGGAUCUCUUGGUUCCG
rnacentral:misc_RNA from 1 species